rnacentral:rRNA from 1 species
GACGAACGCUGGCGGCGUGCUUAACACAUGCAAGUCGAACGGGAUAAUUUGAGAGCUUGCUCUUAGAGAAUCUAGUGGCAAACGGGUGAGUAACACGUAGACAACCUGCCGACAGGAUGGGGACAACAUUCCGAAAGGAAUGCUAAUACCGAAUGAAGUCGAGGGAGGGCAUCCUCUCUCGAUGAAAGAUGGCCUCUUUUUAUGCUAUCACCUGUCGAUGGGUUUGCGUCUGAUUAGCUGGUUGGUGAGGUAACGGCUCACCAAGGCGACGAUCAGUAGCCGGUCUGAGAGGAUGAACGGCCACAUUGGGACUGAGACACGGCCCAGACUCCUACGGGAGGCAGCAGUGGGGAAUCUUCCGCAAUGGGCGCAAGCCUGACGGAGCAACGCCGCGUGAGUGAAGAAGGUCUUCGGAUCGUAAAGCUCUGUUGAUGGGGACGAACGUGCGAAGGGGAAUAACCCUUUGU